rnacentral:rRNA from 1 species
CCUACGGGAGGCAGCAGUGAGGAAUAUUGGUCAAUGGGCGCGAGCCUGAACCAGCCAAGUCGCGUGAGGGAUGACGGUCCUACGGAUUGUAAACCUCUUUUGCCGGGGAGCAAGCGUGCGGUCGUGAACGCGCGCCGAGAGUACCCGGAGAAAAAGCAUCGGCUAACUCCGUGCCAGCAGCCGCGGUAAUACGGAGGAUGCGAGCGUUAUCCGGAUUUAUUGGGUUUAACGGGUGCGUAGGCGGGAGGUUAAGUCAGCGGUAAAAAUGCGGGGCUCAACGCCGUCGAGCCGUUGAAACUGGCGGUCUUGAGUGGACGAGAAGUAUGCGGAAUGCGUGGUGUAGCGGUGAAAUGCAUAGAUAUCACGCAGAACUCCGAUUGCGAAGGCAGCAUACCGGCUCCCUACUGACGCUGAAGCACGAAAGCGUGGGUAUCGAACAGGAUUAGAGACCCCAGUAGUC